UACGGAAGGGGCAAGCGUUGUUCGGAAUCAUUGGGCGUAAAGGGCGCGUAGGUGGUUCUGUAUGUCUACCGUGAAAGCAUACAGCUCAACUGUAUUUUGUCGGUGGAAACUGCAGGACUUGAGGCUGGGAGGGGCUGGUGGAAUUCCAGGUGUAGCGGUGAAAUGCGUAGAUAUCUGGAGGAACACCGGUGGCGAAGGCGGCAUCCUGGACCGGCAUUGACGCUGAGGCGCGAAAGCUAGGGGAGCAAACGGGG
rnacentral:rRNA from 1 species